CCCUUAGAUGUUCUGGGCUGCACGCGCGCUACACUGAUGCGCUCAACGAGUUUACGAACUUGCCCGGAAGGGUUGGUUAAUCUUUUUAAAACGCAUCGUGAUGGGGAUAGAUUAUUGCAAUUAUUAAUCUUCAACGAGGAAUUCCUAGUAAGCGCGAGUCAUCAGCUCGCACUGAUUACGUCCCUGCCCUUUGUACACACCGCCCGUCGCUCCUACCGAUUGAAUGGUCCGGUGAAGCGUUUGGACUAUGGUUUUCUGACGGUUCGCCAUUGGAUUACCGUGGGAAAUUCGUUAAACCUUAUCAUUUAGAGGAAGGAGAAGUCGUAACA
rnacentral:rRNA from 1 species